rnacentral:rRNA from 1 species
CCUACGGGAGGCAGCAGUAGGGAAUAUUGGGCAAUGGCCGAGAGGCUGACCCAGCCAUGCCGCGUGCAGGAUGAAGGCUUUCUGAGUCGUAAACUGCUUUUACCAGGGAAGAAAAAAGGGGAUGCGUCCCCUACUGACGGUACCUGGUGAAUAAGCACCGGCUAACUACGUGCCAGCAGCCGCGGUAAU